ensembl:misc_RNA Metazoa_SRP Metazoan signal recognition particle RNA
GCCGGGCGUGGUGGAGUGUGCCUGUAAUCCCAGUUACUCAGGAGGCUGAGGCAGGAGAAUUGCUUGAACCCAGGAGGCAGAGGGUGCAGUGAGCUGAGAUUUCACCACUGCACUCCAGCCUGAGGGACAGAGCAAGACUCUGUCUCAA